rnacentral:lncRNA from 1 species
AUGCUUUACAUCAUGUUUUGUUGCUAUUCAAGAUCAUGGGAGAUGUCUUUGUAUUUGAUUCCAAAAGCCAUGCCAUUUUUGAAGGUCGCAAAUUGAAAAAAAGAACGAAACGAAACUCUAAUUGACUUUGUUAGGUUGACGGAGGUUGUGUAGGUCAGAAACGAGCCAGAAGAGAGGAAGAAGAAGGGGUCUUGGAGCCUAGAAGAUAUUAUUAGCAGCUCAUUGAUGGCCUAGGGUAUUGCCAUGGUAGAGACUAGGAAAGAGGUAACAACUGUUGAAGAUCCAUUUGAUGCGCCCACUUACAAUAUACGAGAUAAGCUAAUGACAUUUAUAGAAUGAGCUUCAUAUAGUGUUGUAAUCCUGGCUGGACUAAGAAUUGU